GACGAACGCUGGCGGCGUGCUUAACACAUGCAAGUCGAACGGAAAGGCCCUGCUGUUGUGGGGUGCUCGAGUGGCGAACGGGUGAGUAACAAGUGAGUAACCUGCCCUUGACUUUGGGAUAACUUCAGGAAACUGGGGCUAAUACCGGAUAGGAGCUCCUGCUGCAGGGUGGGGGUUGGAAAGGUUCGGCGGUUGGGGAUGGACUCGCGGCUUAUCAGCUUGUUGGUGGGGUAGUGGCUUACCAAGGCUUUGACGGGUAGCCGGCCUGAGAGGGUGAACGGCCACAUUGGGACUGCGAUACGGACCAGACUGCUACGGGAGGCAGCAGUGGCGAAUAUUGCACAAUGGGCGGAAGCCUGAUGCAGCAACGCCGCGUGCGGGAUGACGGCCUUCGGGUUGUAAACCGCUUUCGCCUGUGACGAAGCGUGAGUGACGGUAAUGGGUAAAGAAGCACCGGCUAACUACGUG
rnacentral:rRNA from 1 species